rnacentral:rRNA from 1 species
GACGAACGCUGGCGGCGUGCCUAAUACAUGCAAGUCGAGCGAAUCAAUAGGAGCUUGCUCCUGUUGGUUAGCGGCGGACGGGUGAGUAACACGUGGGCAACCUGCCUGUAAGACUGGGAUAACUUCGGGAAACCGGAGCUAAUACCGGAUAAUCCUUUUCCACUCAUGUGGGAAAGCUGAAAGUCGGUUUCGGCUGACACGUACAGUAGGGCCCGCGGCGAAUUAGCUAGUUGGUGAGGUAACGGCUCACCAAGGCGACGAUGCGUAGCCGACCUGAGAGGGUGAUCGGCCACACUGGGACUGAGACACGGCCCAGACUCCUACGGGAGGCAGCAGUAGGGAAUCUUCCGCAAUGGACGAAAGUCUGAUGGAGCAACGCCGCGUGAGCGAUGAAGGCCUUCGGGUCGUAAAGCUCUGUUGUUAGGGAAGAACAAGUAUCGGAGUAACUGCCGGUACCUUGACGGUACCUAACCAGAAAGCCACGGCUAACUACGUGCCAGCCGCCGCGGUAAAAC